ensembl:lncRNA
GUACACAGGGGAUCAGCAGGAUGGAUGGAUGGAUGGAUUGUGGCCAGAGCAGCACAUUUCAGGUAAACAGAGAUGGGUAGGUAUUAGGAUGAUUAGUAGGGAAUGUCCUUUCUCUUGCAGAUGGAGGAUAUUGAGGAGAUUGCUGGACAAAACUUGGAGAGAAUUGUUGGAAACUGCUAGAAGACAUCACUUUGAAGAUGGCAGGAGAGAAACUGUGAUGCACACAGGAACCACCAUUCAGAAUUAGACAGCCUUUGGAAAGUGCUUUGGAGAGCGGAGCGGCAAUUGCGCUGAGCGUAGGCACACAGGCUUACGCUGGAAACUCAUCAGUGGACUUCCCUCCCUCAUCAAUAUAGGCUAUAUUUUUUCCAAACUUUUCUCAUUCUCAAUAAUUCAGGUUUUGAUAUAUUAAUAUAAAAGAUUAAUAUGAUUGAAUGUCUGAAUGGAACCGUCUGUCUUCAGAAAAGUUUCGAUGGCAUUUUCGUUUAUGAGUGGAGCACUGCUUCCUGUACAGCCAUUACCAUGGAAACCACUAUAUUUGUUCCAAAAAAGCCUCCUACUGGCAGAGAAUGAAUGUGCAUUUGCCAUAAUUCCAUCUGCUGUUUUUGUGCAGACCAUUGCGAAAUCCACCUCAUUUUAAAUUAAUAUAAUAGUUUAUGAUUCAGAACAACCCCAUUUCUUAAAGGGGUUAUGUGAUGCUGCUAAAAAGAACAUUAUUUUGUGUAUUUGGUGUAAUGCAAUGUGUUUAUGCAUUUAAGGUUCAAAAAACACAUUAUUUUCCAUAUAAUGUACACUAUUGUUUCUCCUCUAUGCCCUGCCUUUCUGAAACGUGAUUUUUACAAAGCUUAUCAUUCUGAAAAAGCGAGGUGUGCUCUGACUGGCCAGCUAACUAGUGCUUUGUGAUUAGCCCAAUGCCUCAAGCGUGUGACGGAAAUGUUACGCCCCUUACCAUACUGUGAUGCCGUCUAACAGGCCAGCAGCACGAAACUCAGUCCAGCUGCUCUGCUCGUGCACAUCCCAUCAUCGGUUCUCUUUUAGUUGUUUAGUCAAUGUACUGUUAGGAGUAACUGAAUAACUCGGGAUAUUGGUUUAUUUCACAUCAGAGGGAGUGUAAGGCACGUUUAUAAACCGAAUAACUUAAGUAAUUUGUGGAUUAGUGCGUACUGGAGACGCGAACCAUUUCAAAUGAUUCAGUUUGAUUUGGUGAACUGGUUCGACUGGUUCACUAAGAAGAUCUGGUUAAAUAGAAAGAUGCGUUCACGCUCCGGACAUCACUAGAUGAUACAAAACCAAUAAAACCCAUUACAAACGAGGCAUUUGUAGCAUCCAGUUGGGACAUAAUUACUGAUUAUAAUGACUUAUACUGUCUUUUGACGUGUUGCGUAUCGCACUGCGUAAACAUAAAACCAUGUCUGCAUUUGUGAUCUGAGAAACAACAAACAACAAGCCUACUCUACUGCUCAAAACUCACAUUUGAAUCAUCAUUGACUAAUUAUCCAAUUAUAAAAAACAUACUUACAGGCUAUGAGACAGAAGCGCCAGACUAUCCUUGCAAAGUAGAAACAGCCUUUGUGUCACAGACGCAGUGCAGGCUACUGGUUCUUGAAACAGUCCUCAUCCUCCAUAAAAUGUGCUGCACACAUCUGAAUAUUUGGGCUGAACUGUUCUGGAACAGUGUUGAAAUACAACUUAACCACUGAUUUCUAGUUGUGUCCUCUUUUGGAAGGUCAAACAAAGUAGUUUCGCUUUCACAAUGAAACACAGCUUCUCCACAACAUGGCAGCGGCAGCAACAGCGAGAAUAAAAGUUACGCCUUCUUUCUUUGCGUGAACAUUUGGGUGGCAUUAUGCAAAUCUUCCCACAUAGUGACGUAGAGAUGUGUUUGAAUGAGCCGUUUUAGGGGGGUGUGGUUGACUCUUAACUUUUAUAAAGAAUAUUUCUUUGGAUUUGAGACUUUAGUCUUUGCAACUUUACAGAUUUCUUUAUGCACCAAGAGCUUGUAACACUCCAAAGAGAAAGGAACAAUUGAAAUCGCAUCAUAUGAACCCUUUAAAAAAGAAUGGUUUAAUGGCUCAAUUGUGAGAUUUAUAAUUUUAUAAUUUAUUUUGUUUUGUGAAAACCUGUAUCUCAACUGUAAAACAAUU